UACGGAGGAUCCAAGCGUUAUCCGGAUUUAUUGGGUUUAAAGGGUGCGUAGGCGGCUUAUUAAGUCAGGGGUGAAAGGCGGUAGCUUAACUAUCGGAGUGCCCUUGAUACUGAUGAGCUUGAAUGCAGCUGAGGUAGGCGGAAUGUGACAAGUAGCGGUGAAAUGCAUAGAUAUGUCACAGAACACCGAUUGCGAAGGCA
rnacentral:rRNA from 1 species